GCACAUUUUCCUGAAACCAUGAAAAACACUUGGUCUGAACGCCGACAAAUUGAUUAUACACCUAGGGAACAGAUUGUACUUGAUACGUUGCUAGAUAAAUAGAUUUUCUAGCCAGUACUGCUACGUAGAAGUAUUGCUCAAUCGAAGCGAGUUCUUCUUCUUUCUGGCGUUACGUCCCCACUGGGACAGAGCCUGCUUCUCAGCUUAGU